rnacentral:rRNA from 1 species
UACAGAGGUCUCAAGCGUUGUUCGGAUUCAUUGGGCGUAAAGGGUGCGUAGGCGGUUCGGUAAGUCGGGUGUGAAAACUCUGGGCUCAACCCAGAGAGGCCACCCGAUACUGCUGUGACUAGAGUGCGGUAGGGGAGCGGGGAAUUCCUGGUGUAGCGGUGGAAUGCGCAGAUAUCAGGAGGAACACCGGUGGCGAAGGCGGGUCUCUGGGCAGUAACUGACGCUGAGGAGCGAAAGCGUGGGGAGCGAACAGG